UACAGAGGGUGCGAGCGUUAAUCGGAAUUACUGGGCGUAAAGCGCGCGUAGGCGGCUUUGCAAGUCGGGUGUGAAAUCCCCAGGCUUAACCUGGGAACUGCAUUCGAGACUGCAUUGCUAGAGGUAUGGGAGAGGGAAGUGGAAUUUCCGGUGUAGCGGUGAAAUGCGUAGAUAUCGGAGGGAACUCAGUGGCGAAAGCGA
rnacentral:rRNA from 1 species